rnacentral:tRNA from 1 species
GGCGGGGUUGACGGCGGUGCGGACGGCGCGCCGCUGGGUGCGGCGGACGGUCCGGCGCCGGCCGUCUGGGCCUGCUGGAAGCGGGUCAUCGCCUC